GAACAAAAGAUUUCCUGUAGCCACGGAGAGCCCUCCAGGACCCCACAUCCCCCCGAAUGGGGGUGUUCACACGCCUCACGAGUAGCAAAUGCAGCGCUGGCCGACGGUGAAAUACUGCCUCGCCUCUGAUUUGCCUUUUGCUUGUUGAGCCUCCCCAGUCGGCAGCCUGUGUUUUUCCCCCAGCAGCUUCGCUCCCUGUCUGCUUCCGCUUCAGGUGCUCGGCAGCCCCUUGGCUCUUCGCCGGCUCUUCCAGCUGGCAAGCAGCUUGCCCUGCGGACCCGGAGCAGCUAUGGCUCAGCCGGGACACGGCGGGUGGAAACUCCGCAGGCCCGAUCGGUUGUGUCCUUGGCUCGUUUAGGCUGCGACUUCAAAUACACCCACCCACCCUUCCAGCGCACAGAAAGCACAGCACCUGAUGGCCGCAGGAACUUGUACCAGACCCCAGGCUGCAUACUGUGACCCAUUCAGCUCAAGAUUUUAUCGGGCAGACAUUGCCAGGGUCUCUCAGUCUCUGACUCAGAUUACAGUUUAGAACACAACAUGGCAGGCCACGUCAAAUGGAGCCAAUCUUUGAACUAAGGAGAAGAGCGCUUCUGCACCUACCAGGAAAUGAAAGGAAAGCAGGAGUGCCUACUUUUCUGGAAAACCCAUUCAUUCAUUCAGUAAAUAUUCAUUGGACACCUGCUAUGUGUCAGCCAUUGUGCUACACUGUGGGAAUACAGCAGUGGACAAGACAUAGGUGGCCCUGAGCUCUUGGCAUUCAGUGAAGGAAAGCCAGAUACCAACUUGCACCGUGACCGGGAGCCCUGUACUCAGAGGACAUCUGGCUAUAGCACUGUUGACCUUUCUAAUUUCAGCCUACAGGUACCCCGGGGUGCAUUGAAGGAGGUCGUCCAUGCGCAGAAGGCUGAUGGGUCUGCACGAAGACAUGGGCUCUGAGUCUCUCCUGAUGAAGGGGAGGUGGGUUGCAUGUUGACCACAUGCACACCCCCCGGGUGCAGAAGGAGAGUCAGCUGGUUUGGGCUCGAGUGCCAGAGGGGGAAGUUUCUUGCCUGCAGGGUGGUCAGGGUGACCCAUCCUCUGUGGGCUCCCUUUGUGGGUAGCUUUCCCAGGCUCAGCCCCCAAGAGAGUUCAACCUCUCUUAGUCUUGAAGAGAUGCAGACAUGCUUCCCCUUUCCUUCCUGCGUCUCUCAGAAGGACAGAGACAGAGAGAUGAAGACCCAUCAGAGGCUGACUCUGUAUAGACUACCAGGGGACUUGGUGGGAACAGAGCAGGCUCAGACCCCUCCCUGGGCUCCAGUGGGCUUGUGGUUGGCAGGUAGCAUGUGGAUGCUGUUUCCGUCGCAGGCCUGGAGGGAGUCCCUGCCGGGUUGAAGAGUGGGAGAGCCCAGCCCUCCUUCUGGCUACCCCGAGGUCCAUCUCUGCAGCCUUUAACAGGCUUCCACAUGUUUCUUUUUUCCGUCUUAUAAGCCCUUGGGAUUUGGCCCACUUGUGUCUCAUUUCCAAAUUCUCCCUCUCCUGGAGCUGUCUUCAAAGGCGGCUGCGUCGUUUCCAUCAACCCUCCUUCCUUGUUCUCACUGAAAUAAGUGCACAGUGUUUUUCAUUUUUAAGAACUUUUUACAGUUAGUGUCUCCAUGGAGAUGACACAAGUAACAAAUAUGCGGAUAGGAACACAGACUCAAGAAAUAGCAGUUGAGGGGCGCCUGGGUGGCUCAGUCCGUUAAGCGUCCGACUUCAGCUCAGGUCACGAUCUCGCGGUCCGUGAGUUCGAGCCCCGCGUUGGGC